rnacentral:rRNA from 1 species
UACGAAGGGUGCAAACGUUGCUCGGAAUUAUUGGGCGUAAAGGAUGCGUAGAUGGUUCAGUAAGUUACUGGUGGGAAAUCGAGGCCCAACCUCGUGGAAGUUAGUAAUACUGUUGAACUUGAGUGCAGGAGAGGUUAACGGAACUUCAUGUGGAGCGGUAAAAUGCGUAGAUAUAUGAAAGAACAUCAAUAUGGCGAAGGCAGUUAACUAUUCUGCUACUGACAUUGAGGCAUGAAAGCGUGGGGAGCAAAACGG